UACGUAGGGGGCGAGCGUUGUCCGGAGUUACUGGGCGUAAAGCGCUUGUAGGCGGUCCACCAAGUUUGGGGUGACAGUUGCCGACUUAAUCGGCAAAGUGCCUCAAAGACUGGCGGACUUGAGGGCCACAGAGGGACAUGGAACUCCAGGUGUAGUGGUGAAAUGCGUAGAUAUCUGGAAGAACACCGAAGGCGAAGGCAGUGUCCUGGGUGGUCGCUGACGCUGAGAGGCGAAAGCCAGGGGAGCGAACGGG
rnacentral:rRNA from 1 species